UGCUCCAGCUGUUCUAUUAGGAAGUCAACAUGGAUGAAUCACACUGGCGGGCUCUGGUGCACUCUGACUGCUGGUGAGUUUGCUCAGUGGGAGAUACCAGCAAAAACAGAAGCAGUGUCCAAAAGUGAGAUCAAGGAAUGUUAUGGGGAGCAUGAAACCGACUUGGGUGUAAACUCCAUGCAAGCAGCGAUUACAUCUACCUUAAUCUGUGCUGCAUCUCCAAGACCUCGCCUGUUACCUGGAUAAUGACAGAAAAUAAACUGACCAAUGAACAAUUAUGAAAUGGAUACAUAAAACAAAAUAAUACAUGUGCUUUGAAAGUGGUGUAAGAUAUAAAUAUAAAAGCAUAUAUCCUAAUUCAUUUUUGAGUAAACUUUGAUGAACUAUAAUGCACAAGCAGAAACAUGCACACACCAUAGCACAGCUCAAUACCUUUUAUAAAGGACUUUUAUAAAGUACUCACAAUGCAGAGCCAGGACCAAGGUCAAGAACCAGAAUAUUAGCGACACCAGGCACCCCAGCAUUCCCCACCUUGUUCCCUUCCGGUCCCUACAAACUUCCUCACAGGAAGCUCUCCUGUAUCCAGUUUUCCUGAUGCAACAUUUUGCUUGGCAAUUUUAACCCGUAUUGUUCUGUGACAUUAACCCAUUCUUAUGGAUACACAAUAUUCCAUUGUAGGAUAUGUGGCAGGAGGGGAAAGGGAUAAGGCACAACCCUUAAAGAAUGACACAGCCAGUUGAGAAAAACUUAGGACAGAAACUGGUUAGAACCGAUUAGAUCGAAGAUGGUGGAAAGCUCAACUCCCUGUAGACCUUGGGCCUCGUUAUGCACUUAUUGUAAUAUAUUACCAUAUGCUAAGUGAUACGCCCACAGGCGCCAUGACAGUUCAGCGGCAGACCAUAAAAGGCCAAAGAGCGCCUCGACUGCUCUCACCUGAGGCAGCAGAUUGCAUUCUGCCUAUUGAUGCAUCUCUCUCAAUAAACCUGUUUUCACUUCACCACUGCUGGCUUUUGAAUUCUUUCCUGCUGCUGCUGCUGCUAAGUCGCUUCAGUCCUGUCCGACUCUGCGACCCCAUAGACGGCAGCCCACCAGGCUCUGCCAUCCCUGGGAUUCUCCAGGCAAGAACACUGGAGUGGGUUGCCAUUUCCUUCUUCAAUGCAUGAAAGUGAAAAGGGCGCCUUCUCCUGGAAUUCUUUCCUACAAGAAGCCGACAAAUCUUACUUGGUGGGUCAUUCCAGGAGCUUGCUAAGAUGUGGGACAUGACCAUCCUCUGGCACCGGGUUUUCCUGCAACCAAUAUACUAAAAUUUAGGAAUCAGUCCUACUUUCGAUAGACAUUACCUUUAUCGCCAGGCUUCGGCUGCUGUGAAUAGUGCUUCUCUGAACAUUGUCCUAUGUGUCUUAGGUUGGAUUAUAUCCGGUAGUAGAAUUGCUGGGUUAUAUAGUUUUUUUUUUUUAAGGCUAUGUAUUAAAAUGUCUCAUGUAAACACUCCUAAAAUACCUAAUAAGUAAUAGAAACUCAAAUUUACUCAAGUAAAAAGGAUUUUAUUGCAAGCUACACAAAUUCCACCAAAUUAAAAAAAAAUGGAAAAUUACCAAAAGCAGACAUAUGAAUUCAUAAAGCACAGCAUUUGUGUUUAAACCACUCUACAUAUUUUAAUAGAUCCA